rnacentral:rRNA from 1 species
CCUACGGGGGGCAGCAGUAGGGAAUCUUCCACAAUGGGCGAAAGCCUGAUGGAGCAACGCCGCGUGGGUGAAGAAGGUCCUCGGAUCGUAAAACCCUGUUGUUAGAGAAGAAAGUGCGUGAGAGUAACUGUUCACGUUUCGACGGUAUCUAACCAGAAAGCCACGGCUAACUACGUGCCAGCAGCCGCGGUAAUACGUAGGUGGCAAGCGUUAUCCGGAUUUAUUGGGCGUAAAGGGAACGCAGGCGGUCUUUUAAGUCUGAUGUGAAAGCCUUCGGCUUAACCGGAGUAGUGCAUUGGAAACUGGGAGACGUGAGUGCGAGAGAGGAGAGUGGAAGUCCAGGUGUAGCGGUGAAAUGCGUAGAUAUAUGGAAGAACACCAGGGGCGAAAGCGGCUCUCUGGUCUGUAACUGACGCUGAGGUUCGAAAGCGUGGGUAGCAAACAGGAUUAGAUACCCUUGUAGUC